rnacentral:rRNA from 1 species
UAGGGAAUCUUCCACAAUGGACGAAAGUCUGAUGGAGCAACGCCGCGUGAGUGAAGAAGGGUUUCGGCUCGUAAAACUCUGUUGUUAAAGAAGAACAUAUCUGAGAAUAACUGUUCAGGUAUUGACGGUAUUUAACCAGAAAGCCACGGCUAACUACGUGUCAG